rnacentral:rRNA from 1 species
UACAGAAGCCUCAAGCGUUACCCGGAAUCAUUGGGCGUAAAGGGUGUGUAGGUGGUGUGAUUAGUCUUGCGUUAAAUCUUCGGGCUCAACCCGAAGCUCGCGUGGGAAACGGUCACACUAGAGGAAGUGAGAGGUGUGUGGAACUCAAGGUGUAGGGGUGAAAUCCGUUGAUAUCUUGGGGAACACCAAAAGCGAAGGCAGCACACUGGCACUCUCCUGACACUGAAACACGAAGGCCAGGGGAGCAAACGGG